GCAUGGGUAAUUUUUCAACAGCUAUAAUUCUUAAGCUCUUAGCAAGUAUUGUUGGAAAAUAACAGAUUUUAAAAUAUAUUUCCUUCAUUCCCUCAGGAGAUCUUAGCAUUCUUUUACAAUCUGAAUGCUGGCUACAAAAAACAAAAUUAAAUGAACAAUUCAGGAUGCCGUUCAAAAACACAGCUUUCCUGGGCUUUAUAAUAAUAAUUGACAGCAAUGGAAAACAAAAUCUUCUCUGACAACAUUGGCAGAAAUUAAACCACUAUACCCUGUUGUUAUCUGACAAGUAUUUUUCCUGUUAUGGCAGAGCCAUUUCGUUUUCUACAAAAUGCAUAGUGCAAAGAAACAUUAAAAAAAAAACCAAAACAACUUUAACAGGAAAUCUAAAGUAAUUAUUUCUCAAAGGAGUCUUAAAAAACUACUUUCAAGUGCAUUCUUAAUGCCAGUACUCCAGGUCACAUACACAAAGACUAUUUGCAUUGCAAAAAUGCUCCAGAGGUGAAAGGCAACUACAGAUUUGACUCCCAAAUGAAGAAAGUUUGCAGAUAACUUCCUUGUGCUUUGAUUCUUGAGUUGCCAGAGCACUUGCAUGACUAAUAAGAUAAAUUAGCUAACAGGAAAUCCUUUAUGUCUCCCUAUUAUCCUUUCUGCUCAUAGACAGAAUAAUAUAGAAAUGUUGCACCUGUAAACCAUGGAGAAAAACCCUGGGAAACAAACCAAUUCUGUAGUAAUUCAAGUACCCAGUGAGGUACUGUGAUCUAAGGAUUACUUUUGUAAAAGAGAAUAGCCGGAUUUUGUGGAACGUGGCUGUUUUGGCUUGGUGAUAUCUGCAGUAUUAUAACAUUAAGGUCAGGAUACAGCUGUCUGGUGACUAAAUCCACAUUCAGUGAAUAAGUACUAUCCCAUCACCAGACAUUACCAGACAUCUGUUUCCUGUUUUCAUUCUUUGAGUUGUCAUUCUAUUCGGGUUUCCCUUUCACCUGUAGGACCCUUAAGGCAACCACAACAAAGUAUGUCCAUCCAUUUGGUUACAAUUUUUUAAAAAUCACUAUUACUAGGAAUAACUUGGUCAUUCUGUAUCAAAUAGAGGAUCCAGAGUGUACAUUCUAAGACUGUUGUAUGGCAUAAACACCUUUGUUUUGGUCUUCAUUUAGGUGACUAACUUCCUUCUUUACUUCCAACUAAAAACCUUUCCUGUUGGAGCAGUACCAUAAACUCCAGAAAAUACAAUUGUCAAUUGAUUCAUAAAAAAGAGAAACCCAUAACAGCACAAAUAAGGAAAGCUGGUAAAUAACCAAAAGUGGAUGCAAUCAGUAAUCUGCUUUUGAGAGAAAAAAAAGCCAUCUCUUGCAAUUU
rnacentral:lncRNA from 1 species